AUGAACGCUGGCGGCGUGCCUAAUACAUGCAAGUCGAGCGAACGGACGAGAAGCUUGCUUCUCUGAUGUUAGCGGCGGACGGGUGAGUAACACGUGGAUAACCUACCUAUAAGACUGGGAUAACUUCGGGAAACCGGAGCUAAUACCGGAUAAUAUUUUGAACCGCAUGGUUCAAAAGUGAAAGACGGUCUUGCUGUCACUUAUAGAUGGAUCCGCGCUGCAUUAGCUAGUUGGUAAGGUAACGGCUUACCAAGGCAACGAUGCAUAGCCGACCUGAAAGGGUGAUCGGCCACACUGGAACUGAGACACGGUCCAGACUCCUACGGGAGGCAGCAGUAGGGAAUCUUCCGCAAUGGGCGAAAGCCUGACGGAGCAACGCCGCGUGAGUGAUGAAGGUCUUCGGAUCGUAAAACUCUGUUAUUAGGGAAGAACAUAUGUAUAAGUAACUGUGCACAUCUUGACGGUACCUAAUCAGAAAGCCACGGCUAACUACGUG
rnacentral:rRNA from 1 species